GACGGAAAGACCCCGUGAACCUUUACUAUAGCUUGACACUGAACAUUGAGCCUUGAUGUGUAGGAUAGGUGGGAGGCUUUGAAGUGUGGACGCCAGUCUGCAUGGAGCCGACCUUGAAAUACCACCCUUUAAUGUUUGAUGUUCUAACGUGGACCCGUGAUCCGGGUUGCGGACAGUGUCUGGUGGGUAGUUUGACUGGGGCGGUCUCCUCCUAAAGAGUAACGGAGGAGCACGAAGGUUGGCUAAUCCUGGUCGGACAUCAGGAGGUUAGUGCAAUGGCAUAAGCCAGCUUGACUGCGAGCGUGACGGCGCGAGCAGGUGCGAAAGCAGGUCAUAGUGAUCCGGUGGUUCUGAAUGGAAGGGCCAUCGCUCAACGGAUAAAAGGUACUCCGGGGAUAACAGGCUGAUACCGCCCAAGAGUUCAUAUCGACGGCGGUGUUUGGCACCUCGAUGUCGGCUCAUCACAUCCUGGGGCUGAAGUAGGUCCCAAGGGUAUGGCUGUUCGCCAUUUAAAGUGGUACGCGAGCUGGGUUUAGAACGUCGUGAGACAGUUCGGUCCCUAUCUGCCGUGGGCGCUGGAGAACUGAGGGGGGCUGCUCCUAGUACGAGAGGACCGGAGUGGACGCAUCACUGGUGUUCGGGUUGUCAUGCCAAUGGCACUGCCCGGUAGCUAAAUGCGGAAGAGAUAAGUGCUGAAAGCAUCUAAGCACGAAACUUGCCCCGAGAUGAGUUCUCCCUGACCCUUUAAGGGUCCUGAAGGAACGUUGAAGACGACGACGUUGAUAGGCCGGGUGUGUAAGCGCAGCGAUGCGUUGAGCUAACCGGUACUAAUGAACCGUGAGGCUUAACCUUACAACGCCGAAG
rnacentral:rRNA from 1 species